rnacentral:ncRNA from 24 species
ACAGUACAAACUGAGCAGGCAAUGUCUGAUCAUGCGACAUGAAGCCGGGCCGCUUCGGCGGCAGCAGAUGGGUAUCAGGCGCAUCUGUGGGACAGUA